AUGAAUGCAACGAGGCCUGUACUCCUCCACGCCGCCAGCCAGGACCUCAACAUCAUGACGGUGGCGCAGCGCUAUGCGCUCAUGAAGGCCAACGUCGAGGGCCUCAAGCCGCUCCAGGUCGGCAUCGCCGUCUGCGACCACCAAGGCCAGCAGGUCGCCUGGGAGUUCAACCUCCGCGACUUCUGCCGCCUCACGGACCCGCACGACCAAAAGGUGCUCAUGGGCUCCGGCCUCAUCGGCGCAGGACACAUGCGGCCGCUGUCAUGGAUCACCUACGUCGGUGCCUACUACGUAGCGUACCAGCUCAAGAUCGUCAUUGGCGGCAUGCAGUAUUAA
rnacentral:rRNA from 1 species